rnacentral:rRNA from 1 species
UUGGUUUAGUUAAGUCAGAUGUAGAAACGGCCCGGGGCUACUAACCGUACGGUAAUUGCUAUUUAGAACGUGGACUAACUAGAGUACUGUAGAGGGGGUAGAAUUUCAGGUGUAGCGGUGAAAUGCGUAGAGAUCUGAAGGAAUACCGGUGGCGAAGGCGGCCCCCUGGACAGAUACUGACACUCAGAUGCGAAAGCGUGGGGAGCAAACAGGAUUAGAUACCCUGGUAG